CAAGCAACGAAACACAACAGGGUUUGCUGAGGGUUUUUUUUUUUUCCCAACAUGCGUAAAGUUCAACUUGACCUCACGUCCUUUCCCAAAUGGCUGCUUCGAUUAUUUUUUGGUGAAAGUUAAUGAUUUCCUGUCAGUCUAAUGUCAUCAGAUUGAUAUGGAAGGAUGUGACUUACAUCCACAAGUCGUUAUUUAGUAGAAACUUUCCAGCAUUUCCGAGUCUUUAUUGCUGACAGACCAAAUCUUUGUUCGUAUAUAUUUAUAACUUCAGGAUUCUGUAUAAAGUGGUAUAAACGAUGUGGAUGGAAAACAAAAGAGAUCAUCUUCAUCAUCAUCAUCUUCAGCACUCGAUAGGAUCCUUCUUCAUUUCCUGCGUUGCGAGAAGGACGACGGCAGGCUCUUGGAAACGAUACGAUCUCGUCGUCAUGUUUGUUCCUUCAUCUAUGACCAUGCAUUGUUUCUAUAAUGGGGGGGCAGUAGGAGCUCGGGUCUACAACCAACCCGGGUCACACUGCAUCCAGAGAGAGCAGAACGUGUGUGUGUCUGCCAUGAGACGGAGAAGACGUCCACGACCCCGACGUCCAAUCGGAUUUGAGCUCAACAACACAAAGGUAUAGUUAUACAUAUGAAAUGUACAGUCUGGUUUUUUAAUGUUGAAAAUAUUCUUUCAUAGAUUAUGGUCUACAUGCUGAAUCAGAAAUGGCUCCAUAUUGGAGAUGAAGUGCACUACCUAGGGCAUUAGCUAAUGGCUUUUACACCCGACCUAAAAGCUGCUACAGUUAUAAUAAGAGGCCAUUUCAGCUUGGGUGUCUCUGUGUCUCUGUCUCACACAGGAAGGAGAGCCGCCAUGACACGCUGCUCUGAUUUCACUGUAAUCAUGUGUACAUGGAGCUGAUCUAAGAUCAGCAAUACUGUUCUCUCUCUAACUCUAACUGUGUGAGUAUGUGUGUGUGUGUGUGUGUGUGUGUGUGUGUGUGUGUUUGA